rnacentral:rRNA from 1 species
CAAAGACGAUGAGGUAGAUAGGUUCGGGGUGGAAGCGUGGCGACACGUGCAGCUGACGAAUACUAAUCGAUCGAGGACUUAACCAA